rnacentral:rRNA from 1 species
UACGGGGGGGGCAAGCGUUGUUCGGAAUUACUGGGCGUAAAGGGCUCGUAGGUGGCCAACUAAGUCAGACGUGAAAUCCCCAGGCUCAACUUGGGAACUGCGUCUGAUACUGGAUGGCUUGAGUUUGGGAGAGGGACGCGGAAUUCCAGGUGUAGCGGUGAAAUGCGUAGAUAUCUGGAGGAACACCGGUGGCGAAGGCGGCGUCCUGGACCAACACUGACACUGAUGAGCGAAAGCCAGGGGAGCAAACGGG